rnacentral:rRNA from 1 species
CCUGGCUCAGGACGAACGCUGGCGGCGUGCCUAACACAUGCAAGUCGAACGGAGUUGAAAGGAGCUUGCUUUUUUCAACUCAGUGGCGGACGGGUGAGUAACGCGUGAGUAACCUGCCUUUCAGAGGGGGAUAACGUUCUGAAAAGAACGCUAAUACCGCAUAAGAUUGUAGCUUCGCAUGGAGCAGCAAUCAAAGGAGCAAUCCGCUGAAAGAUGGACUCGCGUCCGAUUAGAUAGUUGGCGGGGUAACGGCCCACCAAGUCGACGAUCGGUAGCCGGACUGAGAGGUUGAUCGGCCACAUUGGGACUGAGACACGGCCCAGACUCCUACGGGAGGCAGCAGUGGGGAAUAUUGCACAAUGGAGGAAACUCUGAUGCAGCGAUGCCGCGUGAGGGAAGAAGGUUUUAGGAUUGUAAACCUCUGUCUUCAGGGACGAAAAAAGACGGUACCUGAGGAGGAAGCUCCGGCUAACUACGUGCCAGCAGCCGCGGUAAUACGUAGGGAGCAAGCGUUGUCCGGAUUUACUGGGUGUAAAGGGUGCGUAGGCGGAUUGGCAAGUCAGAAGUGAAAUCCAUGGGCUUAACCCAUGAACUGCUUUUGAAACUGUUAGUCUUGAGUGAAGUAGAGGUAGGCGGAAUUCCCGGUGUAGCGGUGAAAUGCGUAGAGAUCGGGAGGAACACCAGUGGCGAAGGCGGCCUACUGGGCUUUAACUGACGCUGAGGCACGAAAGUGUGGGUAGCAAACAGGAUUAGAUACCCUGGUAGUCCACACUGUAAACGAUGAUUACUAGGUGUUGGAGGAUUGACCCCUUCAGUGCCGCAGUUAACACAAUAAGUAAUCCACCUGGGGAGUACGACCGCAAGGUUGAAACUCAAAGGAAUUGACGGGGGCCCGCACAAGCAGUGGAGUAUGUGGUUUAAUUCGA